UGUCAUUAAUAAAAAUCUGAAUCGGUUGCUUACUUUUUUCAUUUUUAUUAUGGUUAAUUAAUAGAGAUUUGGACUUUUCAAUAUUUAUAGUAAGUUUAUUACUAGCCAUCCAAGAUGUGAUUUUUUGCAUUUCAGAGUUCAUGUACAGUUCCAAAUCAUUUGAUGAAGCUGAACUUCCGAAUAGUCCAGUAUCAUCAGCAAAGAGUUUCACAAAAUUGAACGCAAGUGCACCAUGAAUCUGAUUAGAUGACUGAUGGGGCAGUGAUGCAACUGAGCACGGUUGGCAAAAAUGGGAGCAUUCAAGAUGGAAAUUGGACCCACAUAUCUCACAGGAAUCCCAUGAAACUCAAGAUUCUCCAGACGUCCCCUUCUCUCCUGAUCUUCUACUUUUUCUGAGACAUAGAACAAAUCGUCUUCAAGAUCAUAUAUUCUUUCCAAGAGAUUUUCAAUUGUUUUUUUGUUUUCA